rnacentral:rRNA from 1 species
CGCCUUGCCAGCCCGCUCAGAAACUUAAAGGAAAUUGACGGGGCCCGGCACAAGCGGAGGAGCAUGUGGUUAAUUCGAUGAUACGCGAGGAACCUUACCUGGGCUCGAACGUAAGAUGACUGUAGGUGAAAGCUUACAUCUCUUCGGAGCAUUUUACGAGGUGCUGCAUGGUUGUCGUCAGCUCGUGCCGUGAGGUGUCGGGUUAAGUCCCAUAACGAGCGCAACCCCUACCUUUAGUUGCCAUCAGGUUAAGCUGGGGACUCUAAAGGAACUGCCUACGCAAGUAGUGAGGAAGGCGGGGAUGACGUCAAAUCAGCACGGCCCUUACGUCCAGGGCUACACACGUGCUACAAUGGCCGAUACAGAGGGCAGCUACCUGGUGACAGGAUGCAAAUCUCCAAAGUCGGUUUCAGUUCGGAUCGGAGUCUGCAACCCGACUCCGUGAAGUUGGAUUCGCUAGUAAUCGCGCAUCAGCCAUGGCGCGGUGAAUACGUUCCCGGGCCUU